CUCCCAGGAAGGAUUGCCUUGGCUGAUCCUGUCAAGUCCAGAUGCAUUGUGUGCAUCAAAGAAAUUAUAGGAAGGAAGCACCAGUUUUAUUUAACUAUAACACCUUCAUUUGCUUCAACAUCCAUUGUUUUACUCUACAAUCUUAAGAAUUACCAGAAGUUAUACAUUCACACAUUAAAGAGCAUAAAUUCGAUCAACUUCUGAAUUGGAGAAGUCAGAGUGUUGCCAUGAGGUGGAUCCACUUCUUCUUGCAGACUUCUCCCUCUUCCUCAUUGAGCGAAUCCUCUUGGACUUCACCACAUAAUAAGUCAUUGUGCC
rnacentral:misc_RNA from 1 species